CCCUGGUAGUCCACGCCCUUAACGUUGGAUACUUGAUGUCGGGAUGUUCGGUCGUCUCGGUGUCGUAGCUAACGUGUUAAGUAUCCCGCCUGGGGACUUCGGUCGCAAGACUGAUACUCAAAGGAAUUGACGGGGGCCCGCACCAGCGGUGGUACAUGUGGUUUAAUUCGAUGCAACGCGAAGAACCUUACCUGGGCUUGACAUAUAUAUGAAGUAUGUAAGAAAUUAUGUAUUCUGUCUGUUUUUUCAGACAGCAUAUAUACAGGUGAUGCAUGGCUGUCGUCAGCUCGUGUCGUGAGAUGUAGGGUUAAGUCCCUUAACGAGCGCAACCCUUGCUUUUAGUUGCCAUCAGGUAAUGCUGGGGACUCUAGAAGGACUGCCGAGGUUUACUCGGAGGAAGGUGGGGAUGACGUCAAGUCAGUAUGUCCCUUAUGUCCAGGGCUACACACGUGUUACAAUGGACGGUACAGAGUGCAGCUACGCCGUGAGGCUACGCAAAUCACUUAAAGCCGUUCCCAGUUCGGAUUGGAGUCUGCAAUUCGACUCCAUGAAGUUGGAAUCGCUAGUAAUCGCAGUACAGCAUGCUGCGGUGUAUACGUUCCCGGGCAUUGUCACACCGCCCGUCACGCCAUGGAAGUUGGGAGUACCCAAAGUUGCUGUCU
rnacentral:rRNA from 1 species